CUACAGGGGUAUCUAAUCCUGUUUGCUCCCCACACUUUCGCACCUCAGCGUCAGUAUCAUGCCAGUGAGCCGCCUUCGCCACCGGUGUUCCUCCAAAUAUCUACGAAUUUCACCUCUACACUUGGAAUUCCACUCACCUCUCAUGAUCUCUAGACAUCCAGUAUCAAAGGCAGUUCCGGGGUUGAGCCCCGGGAUUUCACCUCUGACUUAAAUGUCCGCCUACGCGCGCUUUACGCCCAGUAAUUCCGAACAACGCUAGCCCCCUCCGUAUUACCGCGGCUGCUGGCAC
rnacentral:rRNA from 1 species